rnacentral:rRNA from 1 species
AGAGCGAACGCUGGCGGCAGGCCUAACACAUGCAAGUCGAACGGACCCUUCGGGGUUAGUGGCGGACGGGUGAGUAACACGUGGGAACGUGCCUUUUGGUUCGGAAUAGCUCCUGGAAACGGGUGGUAAUGCCGAAUGUGCCCUUCGGGGGAAAGAUUUAUCGCCAUUAGAGCGGCCCGCGUCUGAUUAGCUAGUUGGUGAGGUAAUGGCUCACCAAGGCGACGAUCAGUAGCUGGUCUGAGAGGAUGACCAGCCACAUUGGGACUGAGACACGGCCCAAACUCCUACGGGAGGCAGCAGUGGGGAAUCUUGCGCAAUGGGCGAAAGCCUGACGCAGCCAUGCCGCGUGAAUGAUGAAGGUCUUAGGAUUAGUAAAAUUCUUUCACCGGGACGAUAAUGACGGUACCCGGAGAAGAAGCCCCGGCUAACUUCGUGCCAGCAGCCGC